AGGUCAUUUUAAAGAGACUUAUGGGACCCAAACCAGGAGCUCUUAACGCUGGGACCGAAGAUUGAAGUUUUCUGUAGGAUGUAGCAGGCACUGACCAGUGCUGUCUUCCUGAGGAGAUAUAAGA